rnacentral:rRNA from 1 species
ACAGAGGGUGCGAGCGUUAAUCGGAAUUACUGGGCGUAAAGCGCGCGUAGACGGUUUUGUAAGUCAGAUGUGAAAUCCCUGGGCUCAACCUGGGAACUGCAUUUGAAACUGCAUGGCUAGAGUAUCGAAGAGGGAAGUGGAAUUUCCGGUGUAGCGGUGAAAUGCGUAGAUAUCGGAAGGAACACCAGUGGCGAAAGCGACUUCCUGGUCGAAUACUGACGUUCAUGUGCGAAAGCGUGGGGAGCAAACAGGAUUAGAUACCCUGGUAGUCCACGCCAUAAACGAUGACAACUAGAUGUUGGGAGGGUCUGCCUCUCGGUGUCGCAGCUAACGCGUUAAGUUGUCCGCCUGGGGAGUACGGCCGCAAGGUUG